rnacentral:tRNA from 1 species
GCGAUUUUAGUUUAAUUUAAAAUAUCGAUUUGUCUCAUCGUUGAUGGUAUCACCAAAUCGCU